rnacentral:rRNA from 1 species
GACGAACGCUGGCGGCGUGCUUAACACAUGCAAGUCGAACGCUGAAGCCCGCUUGCGGGUGGAUGAGUGGCGAACGGGUGAGUAACACGUGAGUAACCUGCCCUUCACUUUGGGAUAACCUUCGGAAACGGGGGCUAAUACUGGAUAUGACUCAUGGCCGCAUGGUUGUGGGUGGAAAGAUUCUUUGGUGGGGGAUGGGCUCGCGGCCUAUCAGCUUGUUGGUGGGGUGAUGGCCUACCAAGGCGACGACGGGUAGCCGGCCUGAGAGGGCGACCGGCCACACUGGGACUGAGACACGGCCCAGACUCCUACGGAGGCAGCAGUGGGGAAUAUUGCACAAUGGGCGCAAGCCUGAUGCAGCGACGCCGCGUGGGGGAUGACGGCCUCGGGUUGU